UCUGCAGCAUCAGGUUCCUGACGUACAGGAUCUUCACGGUUGCCAUGGUAUCCUCAUCCACCUCCACCUCAGGCUCCGCCCAGUCCACAGCGAUGGCGUGACCCCACAGCUGGAUACGACCUGAGGGGGGCGACAGCUGACAUCACUCCCAUCAUAUAGAGUUUAUCUCCUCGUCCCUCCUAUCAGAGCUCUUCUCCGGUUGGACGCUGACCAUGUGACUCAGGCUGUGAUUGGCUGCUGAUAACGCCGUCUUACAGGAGCCGCUGGAGAGGAUCUGAAGAGACGCAGGUUGCUGACCUCUGACCUCUGACCAACAUCUGCAUAAACAGAUCUCCUUUCUUCAUCUCUUGUGUUGAUGGAUAUUCAGCGUCUGACGUCUUUAUAGCCGGUGUUUAGCUGAACUU